UCUGUGUGUAUUAAUGGCUGACUCAAGCACAGGCUAUUCUAAGCAGCAGGAUUCAGUGGACACAAGUGGAUCAGACGCGCAAAGUAACCACGCCGUGUGAAUGGACGAGGAACACAAGGGCCUCCAUUACCUAACUGAAUCCAGAAAAUUCAACCAACAGCCAGUCCCGCUGCGGAUUAGGUCCUUGUCCGUCCAAAAAUGGGCGUGCCCUCUGUGAUGGUGUUGCCCCUUCUGAUAGUCUUUGCAGCUGGGGUGUACUACAUAUACAAUGAAGUCAUGCGGUUCAUGUCCAAGUCCAUAGUGCGCAACAAAGUGGUGGUGAUCACUGAUGCUGUGUCUGGGUUGGGGACAGAGUGUGCACAACUCUUUCACAAGGCCGGAGCCAGACUGAUCCUGUGUGGGACCAACUGGGACAAGCUGGAGUCCUUGUAUGACUUUCUAACUAACGAUGCUGACCCC